rnacentral:misc_RNA from 1 species
GCUUAAGCCAAAUGCGAGAGCAUGCAACAUAGUGAUCAACUCUCUUGGAAAAGCUGGCAAAGUCAAGCUUGCAUUUGAGAUUUAUGAUCUGAUGAAAUCAUUAGGUCAUGCACCUGAUGUAUACACAUGGAAUUCCUUGCUUAAUGCCUUAAACAGGGCAAAUCGAUAUUGUGAUGCAAUUCAGCUCUUUGAGAGAAUAAGAAAUAUCCAAAGUGUUAUUUUGAAUGAGCAUAUAUACAAUACUGUUUUGACAUCAUGCCACAGGCUUGGGUUGUGGGAGAAAGCUGUACAGGUACUCUGGCACAUGGAGGCUUCUGAACUCCCAGUUUCAACUGCAUCCUAUAAUCAAGUCAUUGGAGCUUGCGAGGUAGCAAGAAGACCCAAGGUUGCAUUACAAGUGUAUUACCGCAUGGUUCGCCAAAACCGUUCUCCUGACAUAUUUACUCUAUUGUCAUUGAUGAGGG